rnacentral:miRNA from 1 species
AACCUCAUCAACCAGAAGGAAAUCCUUCUGGUUGAUGAGGUAUAACAACCUCAUUGACCAGAAGGAAAUCCUUCUGGUUGAUGAGGUA